CUACGGGAUGCUGCAGUGGGGAAUAUUGGACAAUGGGCGAAAGCCUGAUCCAGCAAUACCGCGUGAAUGAUGAAGGCCUUAGGGUUGUAAAGUUCUUUUAGUUGGAAAGAUAAUGACGGUACCAACAGAAAAAGCCCCGGCUAACUCCGUGCCAGCAGCCGCGGUAAGACGGAGGGGGCUAGCGUUGUUCGGAAUUACUGGGCGUAAAGGGCGCGUAGGCGGAUUAGUAAGUUGGGAGUGAAAGCCCGGGGCUUAACCUCGGAACUGCUUUCAAAACUGCUAGUCUUGAGUGAAGUAGGGGAUGAUGGAAUUCCUAGUGUAGAGGUGAAAUUCUUAGAUAUUAGGAAGAACACCGGUGGCGAAGGCGGUCAUCUGGACUUCAACUGACGCUGAGGCGCGAAAGCGUGGGGAGCAAACAGGAUUAGAUACCCCCGUAGUC
rnacentral:rRNA from 1 species